GGAAACCACACCCAGAACAGGUUUUGGCUGGGGGUGGGGUAAGAUAAGUUCAGCAGACUGGCCCCUGUUGGGCCCCACUUUGCCAUUUAACCAGGACCUGUAAUAAUAAUGGCUGCUAGUGAUUACUGAGUUCACCAUGUACCAGCCACACCUGAAGGCACUGCUAGGGAAGUUUGAUAUACGUGAAGUGGACUAAAGUCUAAGUGUGUUACAAAGACAAGAUACCAUAUGUAAAGCUCCUACUAACAUGUUUGGGACACAGUAAGCACUCAAUGAAAUCUUUUUCCUACCAACCACAACAGAGGAGACAAGAAGCUUUAUGGAAUAACGAAUGUGAACAGAGUUUUAAAAAAAUCAUAGGAACAAUUUCUGCAGGUAAAAUGGAAGAGUAGGGCAUUUAAAGCAGAAGGUAGACGAUGAAGGCAAAACCCAGGGUUUGGUUUUAUGAGAAGCUGCAAGUCUGCCUACCUGGAAGAUCUGACUGGAAUGUAAGAGGCAAAAUAUGAAGUAUUCAGAGUUCGGGCCAUUUGGGGGAGGGUCCAAUGCCAAGUUAAGGAGUCUGGCAUUUAAUUUACACCUUAGGCACAAGCAACAGUUCCUGAGUAGAAGAGUAGCAAUUCCUAUAGGGAAUUCAGCUGGUUGAUUUGAAAUUGAAGAAAAGACAUUAUGAACCUGUUACUACAAACACAUUUUUU